GACGAACGCUGGCGGCGUGCUUAACACAUGCAAGUCGAACGGAAAGGCCCUGCUUUUGUGGGGUGCUCGAGUGGCGAACGGGUGAGUAACACGUGGGUAACCUGCCCUUGACUUUGGGAUAACUUCAGGAAACUGGGGCUAAUACCGGAUAGGAGCUCCUGCUGCAUGGUGGGGGUUGGAAAGUUUCGGCGGAUGGGGAUGUACUCGCGGCUUAUCAGCUUGUUGGUGGGGUAGUGGCUUACCAAGGCUUUGACGGGUAGCAGGCAUGAGAGGGUGACCGGCCACAUGGGGACAGAUCUACGGCCCAGACGCCUACGGGAAGCAGCGGUGGCGAAUAUUGCUCAAUCCUAGGACGCCUGAUGCCGCAGCGCCGGGUGCGGGAUGACGGACUUCUGGUUGUAAACCGCUUUGGCCUGAAACGGAGCGUGAGUGACGGUAAUAGAUAAAGAAGCACCGGCUAACUACGUG
rnacentral:rRNA from 1 species